UUCGCAAUGCCCGAAAGGGUGAACGAGCGACGCCGCGUGCGGGAUGAAGGGUUUCGGCUUGUAAACCGCUUUUCUUUGGGAAGAAGGCCUGUCUCGUGAAGAUGGGCUCGACGGUACCAGAGGAAUAAGCCUCGGCUAACUCCGUGCCAGCAGCCGCGGUAAGACGGAGGAGGCAAACGUUGUUCGGAUUUACUGGGCGUAAAGGGUGUGUAGGCGGCCGCGCAAGUCUGAUGUGAAAUCUUCACCGCUUAACGGGAAGCGUGCAUUGGAAACUGCGUGGCUCGAGUAUGGUAGAGGCAAGCGGAAUUCCUGGUGUAGCGGUGGAAUGUGUAGAUAUCAGGAAGAACACCGGUGGCGAAGGCGGCUUGCUGGGCCAUCACUGACGCUGAGACACGAAAGCGUGGGGAGCAAACGGGAUUAGAUACCCCGGUAGUCCACGCGGUAAACGGUGGGCACUAAGUAGAGGGGUUUU
rnacentral:rRNA from 1 species